AAACUGCGAUACGUAAUGUGAAUUGCAGAAUUCAGUGAAUCAUCGAAUCUUUGAACGCAAAUUGCGCUGUUGGGUAUUCCCGGCAGCAUGCUUGGCUGAGUAUCAUCUGGACAAAUCGGCAAUUGCUUUUUUAUAGGCAUUUGACCGGAUAUGAGGUUGUCGCAUGUUUUGAUGAAAGGUGUGCGUCCCUUCAAGUCUAGUCAGGUUAGCAUGUAUUACGCGCUAAUUCAAUUGGCACCAAUCAUGUUUAACCCGCCAGUGUGUCAAUACUGUUUGCUUCCUCUACCCGAGAUUGCACAACAUGAAACACUGUAUAGCGGAUUACGCAUAUUGUAGCCCAAAACUUUGAUCUCAGCUCAAGCAAGACUACCCGCUGAACUUAA
rnacentral:misc_RNA from 1 species